rnacentral:lncRNA from 1 species
AGAUUAGCUGGUUUGAUGUUGAAAAAUGCACUGGAUGCUAAGGAGCAGCAUAGGAAGUUUGAGCUUGUUCAGAGAUGGUUGAUGUUGGAUGCUACUGUAAAGGCUCAGAUAAAAACAUGCUUGUUGAAGACACUCUCUUCUCUUGUACCUGAUGCUCGUAAACCUGCAGCUCAAGUAAUUGCCAAAGUUGCUGGAAUUGAGCUCCCCCAGAAACAGUGGCCUGAACUGAUUGGAUCCCUUUUGUCGAAUGUUCAUCAGCUACCUGCUCAUGUCAAGGAAGCAACAUUGGAGACUCUUGGGUAUUUGUGCGAGGAAGUUUCUCCGGAUGCUGUGGAUCAAGAUAACGUGAAUAAAAUCUUGACUGUUGUUGUUCAAGGAAUGAGUUCUUCCGAAGUGAAUACUGAUGUCAGAUUGGCUGCUAUUCAAGCAUUAUAUAAUGCACUGAGCUUUGCUCAAGCAAAUUUCAGCAAUGACAUGGAACGUGAUUAUAUCAUGAGAGUUGUCUGUGAGGCUGCUUUGUCGAAAGAAUUGAAGAUCCGCCUAGCAGCUUUUGAAUGUUUGGUGUCUAUUGCAUCAAUGUACUAUGAGAAGUUAACUCCAUAUAUGCAAGAUAUCUUCACAAUCACAUCAAAAGCCGUGAGGGAAGAUGAAGAAGAUGUAGCUCUCCAGGCAAUUGAAUUCUGGAAUUCAAUUUGUGAUGAAGAGAUAGACAUAUUAGAAGAGUACGGGGUCGAGUUUACUGGGGACUCAGAUGCAGUUCAAUGCUCCUAUUUUGUCAAGCAGGCUUUGACUGUUCUUGUACCAAUUUUGUUGGAAACACUUUUGAAGCAAGAGGAAGACCAAGACAAAGAUGACACUGCUUGGAAUAUUGCAAUGGCAGGUGGAACAUGUCUUGGGCUUGUUGCACGUACUGUGGGAGAUGAUAUUGUUCCCCUUGUUAUGCCAUUCAUUGAAGAGAACAUAACAAAACCUGAUUGGAGGCAAAGAGAGGCAGCUACUUAUGCUUUUGGGUCAAUUUUGGAAGGUCCUUCUCCAGACAAGUUGACACCGAUUGUUAAUGUUGCUUUGAACUUCAUGUUAACAGCUUUAACAAAGGACCUGAAUACUCAUGUAAAAGAUACCACUGCCUGGACUCUUGGGCGUAUCUUUGAGUUUCUUCAUGGUUCAACAAUGGAUGCACCAAUCAUUACGCAGGCAAAUUGCCAACAAAUAAUUACUGUACUACUCCAAAGUAUGAGUGAUGCGCCAAAUGUGGCUGGGAAGGCUUGUGGGGCACUAUAUUUUCUUGCUCAGGGUUAUGAAGAUGUGGGCCCAUCAUCUCCUUUGACCCCAUACUUCCAGGAUAUUGUACAGGCACUUCUCACGGUCACUCAUCGGAAAGAUGCAGAUGAUCGGCUAAAGACGGCUGCCUAUGAAACACUUAAUGAAGUGGUUAGGUGUUCAACAGACGAAACUACUCCUACGGUGUUGCAACUUGUUCCUGUGAUAAUGAUGGAACUUCACAAUACACUCGAGGGUCAGAACCUUUCAUCUGAUGAGAGGGAGAAACAACAAGGGCUUCUUUGUGGGUGUUUACAGGUCCUUGUUCAGAAGCUUAGCUCGGCGGAGUCAACUAAGUAUUCGUUUAUGCAGUAUGCAGACCAGAUAAUGGGUCUGUUCCUUAGGGUGUUUGCUUCUAAAAGCGCAACUGUGCAUGAGGAGGCCGUGCUUGCUAUUGGAGCCCUUGCCUAUGCAUGUGGCCCAGAAUUUGACAAGUACAUGCCGGAACUCUACAAGUACUUGGAGAUCGGCCUUCAAAAUUUUGAAGAAUACCAGGUGUGUGCUGUUACUGUUGGAGUGGUAGGCGAUAUUUGCAGGGCGUUGGAAAAUAAAGUUCUACCUUAUUGUGACGGGAUCAUGACACAGCUUCUGAAGGAUUUGUCAAGCAAUCAGUUGCAUCGAUCCGUUAAGCCCCCUAUAUUCUCCUGCCUUGGCGACGUUGCACUGGCAAUAGGCCAAGACUUUGAAAAAUAUCUGAUGUACGCCAUGCCAAUGCUCCAAAGUGCUGCCGAAUUGUCUGCUCAUACUACAGGUGCUGAUGAUGACAUGGUCGAAUAUACGAAUUCUCUCAGAAACGGAAUCUUGGAGGCUUAUUCUGGAAUAUUUCAAGGGUUUAAGAACUCAACUAAAACCCAGCUGUUGAUUCCUUAUGCACCACACAUUCUCCAGUUCUUGGAUAGCAUAUACAUGGAGAAAGACAUGUCAGUAGCUUAUUUUGAUCUUGAUUCUCAAUUUUGCAGCCAUGAAAAAUAUCAGUGUUUGACUGUAAAUUGACUUUUUAACUUGUUUGAAUUCAUGCAGGGAUGAUUUAGUGAUGAAAACAGCUAUUGGAGUACUUGGAGACUUGGCAGACACACUUGGAAGCAAUGCUGGAACUAUGAUACAGAAUUCUCUCUCAAGCAGGGACUUCUUAAACGAAUGCUUAUCUUCGGAAGAUGGUUCGAUAAAGGAAUCUGCUGAAUGGACGAGGCUAGCGAUCACUCGUGCCAUAUCUGCUUGAGAGGUUAUUUGCCAAGCUCGGCAUGUUCUUUCGUUUUAGAGUCCUGCAUGCAUGCAUUGGGGUAUCUUGAGUCAGUCAGGUCCUGGGUUUGCGUUCGUGUCAAGUCGGUCUCGGCAUUUUUCUGGUAACACAAGUUACUCGGGGUGUCCAGUUUUGUCACUAGCUCUUGAAUCAGCACCCGCUGGAGGGCUCGGCUCGGAGGCAUUUGAUUGGCUGCAAACAUCGUUUUGAAGUCAUAACCAGUUGGAAAUAAGGGUCCAAGAAGUGUCAUCAUUCAUAUUGCAUGGAGUCGGUGCAAGUCGGUCAUGGACAUUUGAGUUGGUUGAUGAUAGGUGCUGAGUCGGGUGCAAGGAAUCGUCGCCGAUUGCAUGUAGGGUUGGUCCGUCCGUCCAAGUCGUAAGGUCUCGAUGGGUGUUCCACCAGGACCGAACUCGAAGAGCAUUUGCCGAAACUUUUUUCCUGUGUUUUACUGCAUCUGUCAUCGUUUGUAUCUGUUGUCAUAUGGUAGGUUGUACCAUUGUACCUUCAUUUGUGGGGAAUAUACUUGAAGAGUCUUGCAUUGCAUGAUUCAUUUGUUUUUGUUUUCUAAACUUGUUAUUUCUCUAUAAAGCACUAUAAGUCUGAGAGCUUAUAUAUCAAAACAUCAUGCAUUCAUUCAUUCAUCAGAAUUUCCUUUGCAGCAUCUGGUAAUUAUUGAGUUUGUGCUCAUCUUUUCUUUGGAAGAUGUGUGAUUUUACUGAUCUUUCCUCUUGUUUCAUAACUGACAGAAGUAUCUCUUUUUAUGCUAGAAACUUUUCGAACGACUGAUGCGUUAUUGUUCGAUGAGUUUCUGUUGUGAUCCCUGUGUCAUCGGCGCGUUUCUGGUAAGCAUCGAAAGACACUUUCACGACUUGCGAGUGUUAUAAGUUGUUAUAAGUUAUAAUUAGUUAUUGACUAUGGUCCAUAAGUUAAGUAGGUUGCUCUGAGCCAAUACUCAUGGGUUAUGAUUCAUUUCGGCGUAACGAUUGAGUUGCACGGUAUCUGCUCAAGUUUUAGCCUAGAUAUUUAUAAGAGUUCAUCAGAGUCAUGGCCAGAUCACGAUAGCCACAUAUCAACCUUCGAUUGAUAACCUAAGUAAGUAUUGAAUCUCCACUGUUACUGAGAUGAACAGUGGAAAUUCCACCCGAGAGCCCGAGAACUUAAUUUGUUUUGCCUCAUUGCAAACCUAGUCCUUGCUACUCAUACUGAUGUUGUUGAGUUCAUUGUAACUAGUUAAUCCUAAGCAUAAAAUGUUAUUUCAAUCAAACCGGACAUAUAACAAAAUGCGUGACACAUUUAUAGGCUAGAGGCUCAAUCGAGGCCGAACCUUCAAAAAACCCCGCUCAAAGAGUGCGCCCCCGUCCCAAAUGAACUCUCUACCAAGGUUUUGGACAAUGAACGGGGAGAUUGCAUCGCGUUUCUUUAUAAGCCUGCAUCGAAUUUAAAAAUUGUUCGGGCUAGCGACACAUUGUCAAAUAUCGAUUCCAAUCAAUUAACAGCGAUUCGUUUCGGAUGGAAAUGAACUAGAUAUGUCUGAUUAACAUUUGUGCAAUAGAACCAGUGUCACCUUAGUGUUAUUAUACAACACACAAUUUCACAAAUAUGCAUCAUUUACAACUGCAAGUAAAUGCUUGAGAGAUGCAAUUCCAACUCCCAAGUAAAUAAUAGAACCAUAAAGAAAAAUGAAUAUCUAGUUGUAUUUGAUGAAAGAAAUAUUUUAAUGGUAAACAUGAUAAUUAUUUAAAAAGUUUGAUGUUACUAUUUGUUGUCUUAGAAUUUUGAAAUUUAGAUGUCUUAAAUGUCCUAUUUAAUCUCAACAAUUUUCCAACGACUGAACCUUCUCCGAUAAAGAUGUCCGCCUCCUCCACUAAACACCACCACAGGCAACCACCGUCCUCCUCCGAACUACACCGCAAUAAUCCCAACCCUAACAAUGCGGUGGCUCCUCCCGCACCUCCUUAAACAACAAUCCCCGACCUGCCACGAAUUGUUGAAACGAAGGUCUUACCAUAUGGAGCAGCUCUUGCAUUUAAUAAUAAUAAAACACAAAAGAAUAUAAAUUGGAACGCAUUGGUCAAAUGUCCCCGUCACAAUGUUCGGUAAAAACGUUGAAGGCAAGGACAAAAUGAUCAAUCCGGACAUCCUUUCCUCGCCAUCAGCGUCUUCGCCAAACGUACUAGGGUGAAUAGAGUCUAACUACCACGUCUCAACUUAACUUUUUAAAAAAUAAAUCAAUUUGUGUUUUGCUAUUGUCAUUAUAUUUACAGAUUAGUAUUAUUAUUAGUAACCGAUACUAAUAAAUUAAAAAAUAAUAAUAAAUUGAAUAGUUAAAUAAUUAAAUUUCUCAUGUAAUUAACUUGAUAAGUAUUUAAAACAUUAUUAGAUAUUUGUUUUGUUUGAGUAGAAAUUAAUUUCCUCGGCCAAUUUCCUGACUCCAUUAGAAAAUUUUAUUUACUCAUAAAUUCAACUUUGCUUUUGCGUCCGCAUCCUCUCUCUCUGUAGCUCCGCGCCUCCCCACUAGGGUUCAACCUCGCCGUCGCAUCUCUCUGAUCUGCCACCGGACAAUUUUCCUUCCUCCCUUCAGCUUUUCAAAUUCCGUAAGUGACACUCUCCUUGCCUUGAUUUUACUUCCGGAUUUCGAUUCUCUAUUCGUUUGUUUUUGGGGCCAAGUUUGAUCUUCUUCUAGUGUUCCUACUAUCCGAUUCGCGUUUUUUUUGGUUUGGUUCGCACUAUCCUGCUCGUCUGCUCUGUUCAUCAUACUUCUAAAUCUGAAUGCAUCUUUGUCGAACUAUCUAUUAGCUUGUAGUGAUUAGGUUUCGGUUCUCCAAGCCGAGUUUUUUUCUUCCUCUUUCGCCAUGAUCCGGAUUGACUACUCCUUUUAAGUUGGGGAUGUGCUUAACUUGCAGUUCAGCUAGUUUUAGUUGCGAUGUCGAUCUAUGGUUGUUGAUUUCAAUUUCAUAUUCUCAAUUUUAUAUGUGGAUGUUGGACUCAGUCAAUUUUGAUUUGGGUAAUAUUGAUAUGCUUUGUCCGCUCGAGAAAAUUGCAAGCUUUUCCAACAACUUUCAGCAGAGCUCUUUCGUUAGACUGAUCUUCACUUGAAAAUUCGUUUUUUUAAUCUCAACCACCCUAUUUGAUCGUGGGUGUGCUUAUUGAAAGGUGGGUCUUUCUCAGUUGCGAUUGGAUGGAAAAAUUUUGUUGUGUUAUUCCAGUGUUCCUACUAUCUGAUUGGCUUAUUGAAUGCUUACAAUUCAAUCUGAAUGCCUCUUUUUCGAACUGUGUACAGAUAGAUCAUGGCUAUGGAGGUGACACAGGUGCUUCUGAAUGCACAAUCGAUAGAUCGCAAUGUUCAGAAGCAAGCUGAGGAGAGCUUGAAUCAGUUCCAAGAGCAGAACCUCCCUGCUUUCUUGUUUUCUCUCUCUGGUGAGCUUGCCAAUGAAGAUAAACCUGCUGAUAGCCGCAGAUUAGCUGGUUUGAUGUUGAAAAAUGCACUGGAUGCUAAGGAGCAGCAUAGGAAGUUUGAGCUUGUUCAGAGAUGGUUGAUGUUGGAUGCUACUGUAAAGGCUCAGAUAAAAACAUGCUUGUUGAAGACACUCUCUUCUCUUGCACCUGAUGCUCGUAAACCUGCAGCUCAAGUAAUUGCCAAAGUUGCUGGAAUUGAGCUCCCCCAGAAACAGUGGCCUGAACUGAUUGGAUCCCUUUUGUCGAAUGUUCAUCAGCUACCUGCUCAUGUCAAGGAAGCAACCUUGGAGACUCUUGGGUAUCUGUGCGAGGAAGUUUCUCCGGAUGCUGUGGAUCAGGAUAACGUGAAUAAAAUCUUGACUGUUGUUGUUCAAGGAAUGAGUUCUUCCGAAGUGAAUACUGAUGUCAG